UCAUUAGUUUUUUAAUUGAAAGCUUGUAUGAAUGGUUUAAUGAAAAAAUUACUGUCUCUAAUUAAAGUUAGAAUUUUAUUUUUAAGUUAAAAAGCUUAAAUAUUUUAAAAAGACGAGAAGACCCUAUAGAGUUUAAUUUAUUAAAAGUUUUAAUAGUUAAGAUAUAAUAUUUUUAUAUAAUUGAAUUGGGGUGAUUAAAAAAUUUGAAAAACUUUUUUUUUAUUUAAACAUAAAUAUAUGAGUUUUUGAUCCAUUAUAUAUAUAUAUAUAUAUAAUUAUAUAUUUAUGAUUAUAAGACUAAAUUACCUUAGGGAUAACAGCGUAAUUUUUUUUGAGAGUUCUUAUCGUAAGAAAAGAUUGCGACCUCGAUGUUGGAUUAAAAUUAAUUUUUGGUGUAGAAGCUAAAA
rnacentral:rRNA from 1 species